rnacentral:rRNA from 1 species
UACGGAGGGUGCAAGCGUUGUCCGGAAUCACUGGGCGUAAAGGGCGCGUAGGCGGCUCAUGAAGGCUGUGGUGAAAGUCCGGGGCUCAACCUCGGAUCGGCCGUGGCGACUCGUGGGCUGGAGCACUGUAGAGGCGGGUGGAAUUCCGGGUGUAGCGGUGGAAUGCGUAGAGAUGUGGAGGAAUACCAAUGGCGAAGGCAGCCCCCUGGGAUAAUAUUGACGCUCAUGCACGAAAGCGUGGGGAGCAAACAGG